rnacentral:rRNA from 1 species
GCAAGUCGUACGGGAACGAGACCUUCGGGUCUUUAGUACAGUGGCGGACGGGUGAGUAACACGUGAUCAACGUACCCCUAAGACCGGGAUAGCCAUUCGAAAGGGUGGGUAAUACCGGAUAAGCCCACACCAUCGCAUGGUGGAGUGGGAAAAGGUUUAUUCUACUUAGGGAGCGGAUCGCGGACUAUCAGUUUGUUGGUGGGGUAAUGGCCUACCAAGGCGAUGACGGUUAGCCGGCCUGAGAGGGUGGAC